GCAGCUUACACAUGCAGUCGAGCGGGGAGUAUAGCUUGCUAUACGACCUAGCGGCGGACGGGUGAGUAAUGCUUAGGAAUCUGCCUAUUAGUGGGGGACAACAUUCCGAAAGGAAUGCUAAUACCGCAUACGCCCUACGGGGGAAAGCAGGGGAUCUUCGGACCUUGCGCUAAUAGAUGAGCCUAAGUCAGAUUAGCUAGUUGGUGGGGUAAAGGCCUACCAAGGCGACGAUCUGUAGCGGGUCUGAGAGGAUGAUCCGCCACACUGGGACUGAGACACGGCCCAGACUCCUACGGGAGGCAGCAGUGGGGAAUAUUGGACAAUGGGCGAAAGCCUGAUCCAGCCAUGCCGCGUGUGUGAAGAAGGCCUUUUGGUUGUAAAGCACUUUAAGCGAGGAGGAGGCUACCGAGAUUAAUACUCUUGGAUAGUGGACGUUACUCGCAGAAUAAGCACCGGCUAACUCUGUGCCAGCAGCCGCGGUAAUACAGAGGGUGCGAGCGUUAAUCGGAUUUACUGGGCGUAAAGCGUGCGUAGGCGGCUUUUUAAGUCGGAUGUGAAAUCCCUGAGCUUAACUUAGGAAUUGCAUUCGAUACUGGGAAGCUAGAGUAUGGGAGAGGAUGGUAGAAUUCCAGGUGUAGCGGUGAAAUGCGUAGAGAUCUGGAGGAAUACCGAUGGCGAAGGCAGCCAUCUGGCCUAAUACUGACGCUGAGGUACGAAAGCAUGGGGAGCAAACAGGAUUAGAUACCCUGGUAGUCCAUGCCGUAAACGAUGUCUACUAGCCGUUGGGGGCCUUUGAGGCUUUAGUGGCGCAGCUAACGCGAUAAAGUAGACCGCCCUGGGGGAGUACGGUCGCAAGACUAAAACUCAAAGGAAUUGGACGG
rnacentral:rRNA from 1 species